rnacentral:rRNA from 1 species
AAUAGCCUAACGGCUGAACCAGCAAUUUGGAAGAAUGUAUAGCAAUAGCUGAUUGCACCAACAAACAGUUGAUGCAAAAUUGAUUAUAUCAAAUAAAAUUCUAGGUAGAUUUUUGAUAAUGACAUUGCUUACCUAAGUCUUGACCAAAUUACGUGCCAGCAGUCGCGGUAAUACGUAAAAGACUAGUGUUAUUCAUCUUUAAUUGGUUUAAAGGGUACCUAGACAGCGAAUAAAGCCAUAGUAGGGACUAAUUCGCUAGAGUUACUUAUGAGGGGGUAUUAAAGUACUGCAGGUGUAGAGAUGAAAUUUUGUUAUACCUCUUUUCGUAUGAGAAACUAUGGCACAGGUAUAGGUGAAAGCAUCCCCUUAUGUGAUAACUGACGUUGAGGGACGAAGGCUUUGUGUCGCGAACAGGAUUAGAUACCCCAGUAGUCAAAGCAGAAAAUGAUGAAUGUCAUAGAUUAGAUAUACAAUUUAUUCUAUAAAUGAAAGUGUAAGCAUUCCACCUCAAGAGUAAUUUGGCAACAUUGGAACUGAAAUCAUUAGACCGUUUCUGAAACCAGUAGUGAAGUAUGUUGUUUAAUUUGAUGAUACGCAAAAAACCUUACCACAAUUUGAAUAUUUAUAUAUAUCUUUUAUUGAUUUUUACUUACAUAUAUGUAGAUAAUUAAAAUGAUGCUUAAAUCUCGUUUGUGAGACUGAGUAUGAAAAAAGAUAAUAUAUUUACAAGCGUUGCACGGCUGUCUUCAGUUAAUGUCGUGAGAUUUUGGUUAGUUCCAUUAAAUUAACGUAAACCCUUACUUUAUUUUUAUAUAAAGUAGUUCCCCGCUAUAUUGGAUAUGAUAACAGGGACUAAGACAAGUCAUCAUGGCCUGAAUAUUGUGGGCUAUAGACGUGCCACAUAAACCUUACAAAAGGAUGUGAAAUUGUGAAAUUGAGCUAAUCCUCCAAAAAUGGAUAAACAUUUAAU